rnacentral:rRNA from 1 species
GGAGGGGGCAAGCGUUGUUCGGAAUUACUGGGCGUAAAGGGCGCGUAGGCGGAAGAUCAAGUCAGGGGUGAAAGGCCUGGGCUCAACCCGGGAACUGCCUUUGAAACUGGUUUUCUAGAGUACGGGAGAGGAUGGCGGAAUUCCCAGUGUAGAGGUGAAAUUCGUAGAUAUUGGGAAGAACACCAGUGGCGAAGGCGGCCAUCUGGCCCGGUACUGACGCUAAGGCGCGAAAGCGUGGGGAGCAAACAGGAUUAGAUACCCUGGUAGUCCACGCCGUAAACGAUGUGUGCUAGCCGUUGGGGCCUCAGGUCUCGGUGGCGCAGCUAACGCGUUAAGCACACCGCCUGGGAGUACGGCCGCAAGGUUA